GACGAACGCUGGCGGCGUGCUUAACACAUGCAAGUCGAGCGGUAAGGCCCUUCGGGGUACACGAGCGGCGAACGGGUGAGUAACACGUGGGUGACCUGCCUCUAGCUCUGGGAUAAGCCUGGGAAACUGGGUCUAAUACCGGAUAUGACUCCACGGCGCGUGUUGUGGGGUGGAAAGCCUUGUGUGGCUAGAGAUGGGCCCGCGGCCUAUCAGCUUGUUGGUGGGGUGANGGCCUACCAAGGCGACGACGGGUAGCCGGCCUGAGAGGGCGACCGGCCACACUGGGACUGAGACACGGCCCAGACUCCUACGGGAGGCAGCAGUGGGGAAUCUUGCGCAAUGGGCGAAAGCCUGACG
rnacentral:rRNA from 1 species